AAUGCUGAGACUGGAGGAAGGUGGUUCAAGAUGUUCCCUCCAGCUCUAGGUUGUGUUGCUCCAGGAAGCCCCCAAGUGCUCCGUGAGCCUCUGCUUAACCCUCACUGAAACAGGCCUAUGAGCAAAAUGCAGUUUGCCUCAUGCCACGUGUGAGGAGACUUAGAAAGCCAAUUAAAACUGGCAUUUGCUGCACCAGCUACCAGAAGAUCUCAAUUGCAUCAUGUCAGCAGAUCCAUCCCAGCCUGGUGUUUUAUUCCAGGGUAGGCUGGGCUCAGCUCUUCCGUUGAACAAUUGAAGCCAUGCGCGCCAAACUCGAAC